rnacentral:rRNA from 1 species
UACAGAGGGUGCAAGCGUUGCUCGGAAUCAUUGGGCGUAAAGGGCAAGUAGGUGGUCUCAUUUGUCUAGGGUGAAAUCCUUGAGCUUAACUCAAGAAGUGCCCUAGAAACGGUGAGACUCGAGUUCUGGAGAGGGUCGUGGAAUUCCCGGUGUAGCGGUGAAAUGCGUAGAGAUCGGGAGGAACACCAGUGGCGAAGGCGACUUUCUGGCCUGUUCUUGACGCUGAGGCGCGAAAGCUAGGGGAGCAAACGGG